GGUUCACCCCAUUGAGUGAACCUUUAAAUUCAUUCUACCCUUUAAAAUCAAUCAAAGUAACACAUAGAUUAUUAAUUAAAAAAUAUUAAAUUAAAUAAAAAAUAGCUACAAAAAAUAAAAAUGAUAAUUUUAACGACGCUAACGCUUCCAGCUAAACCCUAAACCCUAAAUUUUAAAUUCUAAACCCUAUACCCUAAAUUAUAAACUAAAAUCCAAACUCCUAAACCCAAACCCUAUACCCUAAACUAUAAUCUUAGACCCUAAACCUAUACCCCAAACCCAAAAACUAGACUAUAAACCUAAACUCUAUACCCUAACCCAAGUCCUAGAUCCAAACUGUAAGCCUUAAACCCAAAUUAUAUACCCUAAACCCAAAACCUUAACCAUAAGUCCAAACGUUAAAUCCUAAACCCAAACCGUAAAUCCUAAACCAAAAAUCUAUACCCUAAACCUAAAUCCUAGACCUAAAACUCAAACGGUAAACCUUAAACCCAAACCCCAAACUUAGAUGCUAUAGGGUUUGGGUUAAUUUACGGUUUGGAUUUAGGGUCUAAGACUUGAGUUUAAGAUAUAGGGUUUAGGUUUAUAGUCUAUUUUUGGGUUUAAGGUAUAUAAUUUGGGUUUAGGGUCUAAGAUUAGGGUUUAGGGUAUAGGGUUUGGGUUUAGGGGUUUGGAUUUGGAUUUAGAAUUUAGGGUAUAGGGUUUAGAAAUUAAGAUUUAGGGUUUAGGGUUUUGAUGGAAGCGUUAGCGUCGUUAAAAUUAGCGUUUUUAUUUUUUAUAGCUAUUUUUUAUUUAAUUUAAUGUUUUUUAAUUAAUAAUUUAUGUGUCAUUUUGAUUGGUCAUAAAGGGUGG
rnacentral:lncRNA from 1 species